UACGUAGGUGGCAAGCGUUGUCCGGAAUUAUUGGGCGUAAAGCGCGCGCAGGUGGUUUCUUAAGUCUGAUGUGAAAGCCCACGGCUCAACCGUGGAGGGUCAUUGGAAACUGGGGAACUUGAGUGCAGGAGAGAAGAGUGGAAUUCCACGUGUAGCGGUGAAAUGCGUAGAGAUGUGGAGGAACACCAGUGGCGAAGGCGACUCUUUGGCCUGUAACUGACACUGGAGGAGCGAAAGCGUGGGGAGCGAACAGG
rnacentral:rRNA from 1 species